rnacentral:lncRNA from 12 species
GUUUGGGUGGCCGGAGAGGUGAGGGGCAGGGGACAAGGUGACAGCAGCGGAGGGGGUUGGACCUGAGGCACGCUGGGGGGAUGGUGGGGACCACAGAAAAGGGGGAUGCGAGGUGGGGGGGGAGGAUGCGCAGAGAAGGAGAAUCGGGGUGGGGGUCAGGCGUGCCCAGCCCGGGAAGGGAUCCCCAGGAACCCCCAGGCUCCCCGGAGCCCCCGCAGCUCCCCCCGGGUCAGGCGGAGUGUGCCCGGCCUGCAGAGAGCCUCGGCCGCGCUCCCUUUGUCAAUGUCCGGUAAUUAAAAUGUCACCGUUUAAUUUUCAGGCCUCUCGGAGCAAUCUUUUCCUAAUAAAGAGUCUAAUCGAAACGCUGCUUCCCCCGCCUCGGCGGGCCGCUCUUCCGAUCUCCUCGGCGGGAAGGGGCGCGGAAGAGGCUGCGGAGGUGCAGAGCCGCCGCGGAUCGAUGGAGAGAAGCCCGGAUUGAUCGGCCUCUAAAAUUAAAUUUAUUGGGGUCAUGGUUUUAUAUGGUGCUGAUACAACUGUUAAAUGGGGAACAUUCAUUUCCAAUAGGAGGCGUUUAUUAAACUUCCACUGAAUUAGACCGCCGUGAUUUAUGUGGCAAUCUCGGCUCAGCCCUCCAGGAGCGCGGGGCCCUUCCGCGCCCGCCACGCGUGAUUAUUUAUUUAUACACCCGUGACACGGCUCCCUAAGUUUUAACCUAAAUUAUCCGCAGGCUUCUUCUGCCGGCGGCACCGGCCCGGGGAACGAGAAAGGAUCGGGGGGUCCCGUCGGGGCGCAGCGCCCUCCCCGCGCCCCCCGACCCCCCCGGGGGUGUCCCCGGUUUGGGGGGCGGCGGAACCCGCAAACGUCCCGGUUCUCGAGUGCGGCGAUCGUUGAGCGUUAAUUAGAAAUUCAUUACAAUUAAAAGCCGCGCGCACACGCCUUAAUUACAUCUGAUUUUUAAUUCCGUAUCCGUGUUUACACAGUAAGCGAGACGUACCU